rnacentral:misc_RNA from 1 species
UGGUUCUGGCAUNGAUGAAGAACGCAGCGAAAUGCGAUAAGUAAUGUGAAUUGCAGAAUUCAGUGAAUCAUCGAAUCUUUGAACGCACAUUGCGCCCCCUGGUAUUCCGGGGGGCACACCUGUCCGAGCGUCGGCUAAAACUUCGAGCGCAGCUUGUUGAUGGGCGACGUGCUGCCUGACGGCGGCACCCUCCCCAAAGCCAUCGGCGCCCUGCCCCCGAGCCACGAGCAGUAGGUUCUCUCUCGUAGGCGAAAGAGGCGGAGGUGAGCCGCAGCCCUGGGCUGUACUUGCCAUUGGCACUAAAAUCGACCUCGGAUCAGGUGGGACUACCCGCUGA